rfam:Picea glauca, whole genome shotgun sequence.
AUGUACAUGCCUACAACAUAAUGUUAAUGCAAAAGAUCCCAUUAGAACUUCAUAGUUAAGAACUCUCUGGCUAGAGUAGUACUGGGAUGGGUGACCACCCAGGAAGUCCUGGUGUUUUACAUG